UCACAGCAGGAUUGAUGAACAGAUCCUUGGAUUCAGAGGUCAGCUGAGGCACACCAUGCCCGCGCCCGCCUUUUGCUCUGUGAAGUUGUGAAUUGCCCAUGCUUGCAGGGAGGAAGGAUGGCACAUGGGAUCCCUUCUCAAGGCAAAGUUACCAUAACGGUGGAUGAGUACAGCUCCAAUGCCUCCCGGGCCUUCACGCACUACAACAUCAGCCAGAGCAGAUUCCAGCCACCGCACGUACACAUGGUCAACCCCAUCCCAUAUGACACUCCAAAACUAGCGGGCCACAUGCGGUUUGUGUGCAUCUCAGACACACACUUCAGAACAGAUGGUAUCCAGAUGCCUUACGGGGAUGUCCUUCUCCACACGGACAAUUUCACUGAGCUGGGACUACCCUCCGAGGUUAAGAAGUUUAAUGACUGGUUAGGAAACCUGACAUAUGAAUAUAAAAUAGUGAUUGCUGGGAAUCAUGAACUGACAUUUGAUAAGGAAUUCAUGGCAGACCUUGUUAAACAGGACUACUACCGUUUCCCCUCUGUGUCCAAAUUGAAACCAGAGGACUUUGACAAUGUUCAGUCUCUCCUGACAAACAGUAUUUACUUACAAGAUUCGGAGGUAACGGUGAAGGGAUUCAGGAUAUAUGGUGCACCUUGGACCCCGUGGUUUAAUGGAUGGGGCUUUAACCUACCCAGAGGUCAGUCUCUGCUGGACAAGUGGAACCUCAUCCCUGAGGGCAUCGACUUACUCAUGCCUCAUGGACCUCCUCUAGGUUUUCAAGACUGGGUUCCCAAGGAACGUCAAAGAAUGGGCCGUGUCGAGGUUGAACAUGGUUCAGAGGCGAGUCCGGCCCAAGCUCCACGUGUUUGGUGGGACCUAUGAAGGUUACGGCAUCAUGACCGACGGUUACACGAUGUACAUCAACGCCCCGACGUGUACAGUCAGCUUUCAGCCCGCCAACCCGCCAAUUAUCUUUGACCUUCCAAACCCACAGGGAUCCUGA